AUUGAACGCUGGCGGCAGGCUUAACACAUGCAAGUCGAGCGGGGAAAGGUAGCUUGCUACCUGACCUAGCGGCGGACGGGUGAGUAAUGCUUAGGAAUCUGCCUAUUAGUGGGGGACAACAUCUCGAAAGGGAUGCUAAUACCGCAUACGUCCUACGGGAGAAAGCAGGGGACCUUCGGGCCUUGCGCUAAUAGAUGAGCCUAAGUCGGAUUAGCUAGUUGGUGGGGUAAAGGCCUACCAAGGCGACGAUCUGUAGCGGGUCUGAGAGGAUGAUCCGCCACACUGGGACUGAGACACGGCCCAGACUCCUACGGGAGGCAGCAGUGGGGAAUAUUGGACAAUGGGGGGAAACCUGAUCCAGCCAUGCCGCGUGUGUGAAGAAGGCCUUUUGGUUGUAAAGCACUUUAAGCGAGGAGGAGACUACCGAGAUUAAUACUCUUGGAUAGUGGACGUUACUCGCAGAAUAAGCACCGGCUAACUCUGUG
rnacentral:rRNA from 1 species